GCCAUACUGCCUAAUGGUUAGAGAGUUGGACUUGUAACCCGAAAGUCGGGGGUUCGAGUCUCAGGUCUGGCA